rnacentral:rRNA from 1 species
ACAGAGGUCCCAAGCGUUGUUCGGAUUCACUGGGCGUAAGGGGUCGUUGGUUGCCGUGCCAAUUUGGAGUGAAAACCUCGGGCCUUAACCCGAAAAGGGCAUUGAAUACUGCACUGCUAGAGGGUCGGAGGGGAGACUGGAAUUCUCGGUGUAGCAGUGAAAUGCGUAGAUAUCGAGAGGAACACCAGUGGCGAAAGCGAGUCUCUGGACGACUCCUGACACUGAGGCACGAAAGCUAGGGGAUCAAACAG